CCGAGUUUACAACUCCCAAACCCCUGUGAACAUACCACUUGUUGCCUCGGCGGAUCAGCCCGCUCCCGGUAAAACGGGUACGGCCCGCCAGAGGACCCCUAAACUCUGUUUCUAUAUGUAACUUCUGAGUAAAACCAUAAAUAAAUCA
rnacentral:misc_RNA from 1 species